rnacentral:rRNA from 1 species
UACGUAGGGUGCAAGCGUUGUCCGGAAUUAUUGGGCGUAAAGAGCUCGUAGGCGGUUUGUCGCGUCUGCUGUGAAAUCCCGAGGCUCAACCUCGGGCCUGCAGUGGGUACGGGCAGACUGGAGUGCGGUAGGGGGAGAAUGGAAUUCCUGGUGUAGCGGUGAAAUGCGCAGAUAUCGGGAGGAACACCGGUGGCGAAGGCGGUUCUCUGGGCCUUACCUGACGCUGAGCCGCGAAAGCCAGGGGAGCGAACGGG